GACGAACGCUGGCGGCGUGCUUAACACAUGCAAGUCGAGCGGAGCGGCGAACGGGUGAGUAAGGCGUGAGUAACUGCCCCCCCCUCUGGGAUAACAGUUGGAAACGGCUGCUAAUACCGGAUAGUGGGGGAUGACUCGCGGCCUAUCAGCUUGUUGGUGGGGUAGUGGCCUACCAAGCCGACGACGGGUAGCCGGCCUGGGAGGGCGACCGGCCUCAAUGGGCUGAGAUACGGCCCAAACUGCUACGGGAGGCAGCAGGGGCGAGUAUUGCACAAUGAGGGAGACCCUGAUGCAGAAACGCCGCGUGCGGGAUGACGGCCUUCGGGUUGUAAACCGCUUUCAGCCAUGACGCGGUAGUGGCAGAAGAAGCACCGGCUAACUCCGUGCCAGCCGCCGCGGUAAUUC
rnacentral:rRNA from 1 species